GGGGACGACUUGGCUUCGACGGGGGUCAGUGGAAUCAUGGAUAGCAUACCGAGGUCUCCUGGUACCUCGUAAAAUAACAGGAAACUAAAAUUAAAUGCAGAUAAUUAUGCAUACGCAAUGGCUGCCUAAAUAAGGCAACCCGUUCCUUUCGGAUUGUACUCAUCCGGUCUGAAAGUGAACGUCGACUAAAGAUGAGUUAGCUUUUUCUUUUGCCUGAGGAGAGAAAGUGAAAUUUCAUCAGGAUAGCUUCCGGAGGUUUUUGUUUGUUGUAGCACCGGAAGCGAAACGAUACAACAAACUAAGUAUGUAGAAGUCUGUGAUUUCAGGCUUCCGGACGCGGGUUCGAUUCCCGCCGUCUCCACCA
rnacentral:tmRNA from 1 species